GCUCCUUCGAUAUAAAGUUGUUUUUGACGAGCAUUUUAAAAAGGUAUCCGUUUAUUUUCACGAGGUUAGAGUAGUAAAAUGUUCAACUACUAAAGACAUUGGCUGGUUGUGCCUUUAGAUUUCGAGAACGUACAUCUAAAGAAUAAUUGUUCACUUCUCUAAUUUACUUCUCAAACUCCGUUCUGAUCUACUUCGAAAGCGUUCCCGGAAGUCGUAAGAUGUUGCGCCUCUGUGUUUUUAUAAACUCUGUGUCGGUGUUUUCGUUUUCCCCAUCCAGGCUCUAUGAAAAGACAACUGGGCCGAUGCACCUGAAAUCAAAACGACACUCCGUAGCUUUCUUAUGACUCAUAUUUAUAGUCUCUUCUUUACCAGGAGGUACGGUAAAGAGGAACCACAACCCCUUUUCCAUACUGCUUUCUGAUUGGGUUAUUCCUAUCACGUGAUCCAGAAGUGAAAGGAUUCUGGUUUUUCGGGAGGUGAACCUGAAGCCAUCAUCAUGCAGAGCACAGCCAACUACCUGUGGCUCAUCUCAGACCUGCUGGGCCAGGGAGCUACAGCUAACGUCUACCGUGGCAGACACAAG